rnacentral:rRNA from 1 species
AAUGAACGCUGGCGGCAUGCCUAACACAUGCAAGUCGAACGAAGGCUUCGGCCUUAGUGGCGCACGGGUGCGUAACGCGUGGGAAUCUGCCCCUUGGUUCGGAAUAACAGUUAGAAAUGACUGCUAAUACCGGAUGAUGACGUAAGUCCAAAGAUUUAUCGCCGAGGGAUGAGCCCGCGUAGGAUUAGCUAGUUGGUGUGGUAAGAGCGCACCAAGGCGACGAUCCUUAGCUGGUCUGAGAGGAUGAUCAGCCACACUGGGACUGAGACACGGCUCAGACUCCUACGGGAGGCAGCAGUGGGGAAUAUUGGACAAUGGGCGAAAGCCUGAUCCAGCAAUGCCGCGUGAGUGAUGAAGGCCUUAGGGUUGUAAAGCUCUUUUACCCGGGAUGAUAAUGACAGUACCGGGAGAAUAAGCGCCGGCUAACUCCGUG